rnacentral:misc_RNA from 1 species
UCUCCGUAGGUGAACCCGCGGAGGGAUCAUUACAGAGUUCAUGCCCUACCGGGUAGAUCUCCCACCCUAUGUUAUUAUUACUUUGUUGCUUUGGCGGGCCGUUAGGCUCCGGCCCGACUACCGGCCCCGGCUGGUAAGCGCCCGCCAGAGGACCCAAAACCCUGAAUAUUAGUGUCGUCUGAGUACUAUAUAAUAGUUAAAACUUUUAACAACGGAUCUCUUGGUUCUG